GCUCCAACUGUUGCACUGUAGUGGGCUUUAAAACAAUGGGGAUAUCCGAUGGGUUGACCGGUCGAUCAACCGGUUAGGCGUUCUCAAAUUUUUUUGAACUUGUAAAUUCUCUCUCACAUCAAAUUUGCACUUGUAAAUUCUCUCACAUCACUCUGCUUUCUCUAAUCAAACCUUUUAGUUAGAGCUUUUUUUAUUAUCAAUGGAGUCUCUGGUUUUGGCUCCUCUUCUUUGAGUAGUCUUCGAAAAAUUAGCCUCCCCAAUCCUCAGCAUAUUCCAAUCCCACACUGAAUUCAACAAUGAGAUGAAGAAGCUCCAAGACCGUUGGCUCACCAUUCAAGCCGUCAUCGAAAACGCCGAAGAGCGACAACUCAGAGACACCAAGGUCAAGCUCUGGCUCAAGAAGCUCAAAGACGUCACUUAUGACGCUGACGACUUGCUCGACUCAAUCACCGCUCAAGCUCUUCGAAACAACAACAACAACAAGAAGGCCAACCAAACACUGAAGCACUGCACAACAGGUAUGCAAUUUUUUGUAAGCAAGGAACGACCUAUGUCCGGCCGGUUGUCUGGUGGGGUCACUUCCAACGUAAACGCACAAUAUUUUAGUGAAAUCUACUCCAACUUCUCAGUUUGGUGAAAGUUUUGAUCCGUUCUCAAUUUGAUAUCAGUUUGGUGAAACCAUUUGAGAGAGAAAAGUUGUCAUUUUUCAUCAAAUUUGAAUCUGGUGCUCAAUCUGAUAAAACAUUGGAGAUGGUCUUAAGUCCUGUAUGUAUUUAAAGUAGGGUUGGAUAGGAUUACGAGUAUGAGUAUGAUAAAAGUUGGUGAACGAAUUAUUUGUGUGGUGAUAUUAAGUUUAAAAUAAAAAAAAAAAUUAUUUUUGUU